GACGAACGCUGGCGGCGUGCUUAACACAUGCGAGUCGUACGGUAAGGCCCUUUCGGGGGUACACGAGUGGCGAACGGGUGAGUAACACGUGAGUAACCUGCCCACAACUUUGGGAUAACGCUAGGAAACUGGUGCUAAUACUGGAUAUGUGCUCCUGCUGCAUGGUGGGGGUUGGAAAGCUCCGGCGGUUGUGGCUGGACUCGCGGCCUAUCAGCUUGUUGGUGGGGUAGUGGCCUACCAAGGCGGCGACGGGUAGCCGGCCUGAGAGGGUGACCGGCCACAUUGGGACUGAGAUACGGCCCAGACUCCUACGGGAGGCAGCAGUGGGGAAUAUUGCACAAUGGGCGCAAGCCUGAUGCAGCAACGCCGCGUGCGGGAUGACGGCCUUCGGGUUGUAAACCGCUUUCAGCAGGGACGAAGCUUUUUGUGACGGUACCUGCAGAAGAAGCACCGGCUAACUACGUG
rnacentral:rRNA from 1 species